GACGGGGACCCGCACAAGCAGCGGAGCAUGUGGUUUAAUUCGAAGCAACGCGAAGAACCUUACCAGGGCUUGACAUCCCUCUGACAGGACCUUAACCGGUCCCUUCUUCGGACAGAGGUGACAGGUGGUGCAUGGUUGUCGUCAGCUCGUGUCGUGAGAUGUUGGGUUAAGUCCCGCAACGAGCGCAACCCUUGUCAUUAGUUGCCAUCAUUAAGUUGGGCACUCUAAUGAGACUGCCGGGGACAACUCGGAGGAAGGUGGGGAUGACGUCAAAUCAUCAUGCCCCUUAUGUUCUGGGCUACACACGUGCUACAAUGGUCGGUACAACGAGAAGCGAGACCGCGAGGUGGAGCAAAUCUUUUAAAACCGGCCCCAGUUCGGAUUGCAGGCUGCAACUCGCCUGCAUGAAGUCGGAGUUGCUAGUAAUCGCGGAUCAGAAUGCCGCGGUGAAUGCGUUCCCGGGUCUUGUACACACCGCCCGUCACACCAUGGAAGUUGGGGGCGCCCGAAGUUGGUCAAGAAAUAGAUUACCUAAGGCGAAACCAAUGACUGGGGUGAAGUCGUAACAAGGUAG
rnacentral:rRNA from 1 species